AGAUUGAGCGCUGGCGGCAGGCCUAACACAUGCAAGUCGAGCGGUAGAGAGGUGCUUGCACCUCUUGAGAGCGGCGGACGGGUGAGUAAUGCCUAGGAAUCUGCCUAGUGGUGGGGGAUAACGUUCGGAAACGGACGCUAAUACCGCAUACGUCCGUACGGGAGAAAGCGGGGGACCUUCGGG
rnacentral:rRNA from 1 species